rnacentral:lncRNA from 1 species
ACACAAUUGAAACCUGUUGUUAUUUCUAAACAUAAUUUAGUAUUCAUAUUUGUUCUUUAAGACCAAUACUUUCAACAGAAGAAUGACUCUGUGAGAGUUGGUCUUGGAUCUUUACAUUUUGUGGGGGAACUAGUCGUGGACAAUGCCUUGGAUAGUACAUGGCAUUGCUGUCGCUGUAAAGGCAAGCCGCCGGGCUUUGUUGCCGAUGUAGAGGCAGGCCGGG